rnacentral:rRNA from 1 species
AAAGGGUCCGUAGGCGGGCCCGUAAGUCAGUGGUGAAAUCUCAUAGCUCAACUAUGAAACUGCCAUUGAUACUGCGGGCCUUGAGUAAGGUAGAGGUAGCUGGAAUAAGUAGUGUAGCGGUGAAAUGCAUAGAUAUUACUUAGAACACCAAUUGCGAAGGCAGGUUACCAUGUCUUAACUGACGCUGAUGGACGAAAGCGUGGGGAGCGAACAGGAUUAGAUACCCGAGU